CCUACGGGCGGCAGCAGUGAGGAAUAUUGGUCAAUGGACGAGAGUCUGAACCAGCCAAGUAGCGUGAAGGAUGACUGCCCUAUGGGUUGUAAACUUCUUUUAUAUGGGAAUAAAAUGUUCCACGUGUGGGAUUUUGUAUGUACCAUAUGAAUAAGGAUCAGCUAACUCCGUGCCAGCAGCCGCGGUAAUACGGAGGAUCCGAGCGUUAUCCGGAUUUAUUGGGUUUAAAGGGAGCGUAGGUGGAUUGUUAAGUCAGUUGUGAAAGUUUGCGGCUCAACCGUAAAAUUGCAGUUGAAACUGGCAGUCUUGAGUACAGUAGAGGUGGGCGGAAUUCGUGGUGUAGCGGUGAAAUGCUUAGAUAUCACGAAGAACUCCGAUUGCGAAGGCAGUUCACUGGACUGCAACUGACACUGAGGCUCGAAAGUGUGGGUAUCAAACAGGAUUAGAUACCCUAGUAGUC
rnacentral:rRNA from 1 species